rnacentral:rRNA from 1 species
GAGUUUGAUUCUGGCUCAGGAUGAACGCUAGCUACAGGCUUAACACAUGCAAGUCGAGGGGCAUCAUGAGGUCAGCUUGCUGACUUUGAUGGCGACCGGCGCACGGGUGCGUAACGCGUAUCCAAUCUACCGCAUACUCGGGGAUAGCCUUGCGAAAGUAAGAUUAAUACCCGAUGUUGUUUAUUAUUCGCAUGAAUGAUAAACCAAAGAAUUUCGGUAUGCGAUGAGGAUGCGUCCCAUUAGGUAGUUGGUGAGGUAACGGCUCACCAAGCCUCCGAUGGGUAGGGGUUCUGAGAGGAAGAUCCCCCACACUGGAACUGAGACACGGUCCAGACUCCUACGGGAGGCAGCAGUGAGGAAUAUUGGUCAAUGGACGAGAGUCUGAACCAGCCAAGUAGCGUGCAGGAAGACUGCCCUCUGGGUUGUAAACUGCUUUUAUACGGGGGUAAAAAACGCCACGUGUGGUGUNGGCAAGACCGAAGAAAAGGACC